rnacentral:rRNA from 1 species
UACGUAGGGGGCAAGCGUUAUCCGGAUUUACUGGGUGUAAAGGGAGCGUAGACGGCGAUGCAAGCCAGAUGUGAAAGCCCGGGGCUCAACCCCGGGACUGCAUUUGGAACUGUAUAGCUAGAGUGUCGGAGAGGCAGGCGGAAUUCCUAGUGUAGCGGUGAAAUGCGUAGAUAUUAGGAGGAACACCAGUGGCGAAGGCGGCCUGCUGGACGAUGACUGACGUUAAGGCUCGAAAGCGUGGGGAGCAAACAGG